rnacentral:rRNA from 1 species
CCUACGGGAGGCAGCAGUGGGGAAUAUUGGGCAAUGGAGGCAACUCUGACCCAGCCACGCCGCGUGAAUGAUGAAGGUCUUCGGAUUGUUAAGUUCUGUGAUGGGGGAAGAACACAAUGACGGUACCCCAAUAGCAAGCCACGGCUAACUACGGGCCAGCAGCCGCGGUAAUACGUAGGUGGCAAGCGUUAUCCGGAAUGACUGGGCGUACAGGGUGCGUAGGUGGUUUAGUAAGUUGGCGGUGUAAUUCCGGGGCUCAACCUCGGCACUACCGCUAAAACUAUUAGACUAGAGUGCAGGGGGGGUAAGUGGAAUGCGUAGUGUAGCGGUGGAAUGCGUAGAUAUUAGGAGGAACAUCAGGGGCGAAGGCGACUUACUGGACUGUAACUGACACUGAGGCACGAAAGCGUGGUGAGCAAACAGGAUUAGAUACCCCGGUAGUC